rnacentral:rRNA from 1 species
UACGUAGGGGGCAAGCGUUGUCCGGAUUUAUUGGGCGUAAAGAGCGUGUAGGCGGUUUUACAGGUCCGUUGUGAAAACUCGAGGCUCAACCUCGAGACGCCGGUGGAAACCGUAAAGCUAGAGUCCGGAAGAGGAGAGUGGAAUUCCUGGUGUAGCGGUGAAAUGCGCAGAUAUCAGGAAGAACACCCGUGGCUAAGGCGGCUCUCUAGUACGGUACUGACGCUGAGACGCGAAAGCGUGGGGAGCGAGCAGG